rnacentral:rRNA from 1 species
UACGUAGGGUGCAAGCGUUGUCCGGAAUUAUUGGGCGUAAAGAGCUCGUAGGCGGUCUGUCACGUCGACUGUGAAAUCCCGAGGCUCAACCUCGGGCCUGCAGUCGAUACGGGCAGACUAGAGUUCGGUAGGGGAGACUGGAAUUCCUGGUGUAGCGGUGAAAUGCGCAGAUAUCAGGAGGAACACCGAUGGCGAAGGCAGUUCUCUGGGCCGUAACUGACGCUGAGGAGCGAAAGCGUGGGGAGCGAACAGG